ACCUCUGCAAUAGGCGAAAGCCUGACAGGGUUACUCUGAGUGAUUUCCGUUAAGGAGGUCUUUUGGCACCUCUAAAAAUGGUGCAGAAUAAGGGGUGGGCAAGUCUGGUGUCAGCCGCCGCGGUAAUACCAGCACCCCGAGUGGUCGGGACGUUUAUUGGGCCUAAAGCAUCCGUAGCCGGUUCUGCAAGUCUUCCGUUAAAUCCACCUGCUUAACAGAUGGGCCGCGGAAGAUACUAUAGAGCUAGGAGGCGGGAGAGGCAAGCGGUACUCGAUGGGUAGGGGUAAAAUCCGUUGAUCCAUUGAAGACCACCAGUGGCGAAGGCGGCUUGCCAGAACGCGCUCGACGGUGAGGGAUGAAAGCUGGGGGAGCAAACCGGAUUAGAUACCCGGGUAGUCCCAGCUGUAAACGAUGCAGACUCGGUGAUGAAUUGGCUUCAUGCCAAUUCAGUGCCGCAGGGAAGCCGUUAAGUUUGCCGCCUGGGGAGUACGGUCGCAAGACUGAAACUUAA
rnacentral:rRNA from 1 species